rnacentral:rRNA from 1 species
UACGAAGGGGGCGAGCGUUGUUCGGAUUUACUGGGCGUAAAGGGCGCGCAGGCGGCUCAUUUUGUCAGGCGUGAAAGCCCCGGGCUUAACCUGGGAACUGCGUUUGAUACGGAUGGGCUAGAGUUCGGGAGAGGAGAGUGGAAUUCCCAGUGUAGCGGUGAAAUGCGUAGAUAUCGGGAGGAACACCUGUGGCGAAAGCGGCUCACUGGACCACAACUGACGCUGAGGCGCGAAAGCUAGGGGAGCAAACAGG